AAAUGCUGAAUCAGGCUUGUUCUUCUGCGUUGUGUUUGAGAUAAUCAGAAAAAAUGACUUUGAUCACAAUGUAUUAUUAUUAUUAUUAUUAUUUUUAUUAUAUUUAUUUAUUUAUUUAUUUAUUUUUACAAAUUUGGGUGUCAUCUAUCUGUAGCUGUCGCUGACAUGUCCUGAAGCCACCUCGCUUUGCAUGUAAUCACUUUAAAAGUGAGUUUUCAGUUUACAUGGAGGCCCUAAACGCCUCAUGGAUGGUAGUCAAAUAAGCAGGAGCCUUUUGCAAUUUUAAGUUAACUCAAAUUUUAACUACAUUGUGAGGAUACAGAAAGUGGGAGGGGCCAAACAGGGUGGUGUGACAUCUCGCACGCUUUGGGGCUAAUCUCACUGUUAGCCAUGAGACGCUAAUCACCGCAGAGGGCCCGUGUGAAGCGUAUUUUGACUUCAUGUUGAGCUUCACAAUGCCAAUUAGCGUAGCGUUAGAAUGUAUUAUUUAUUUUAUAACAUUUUACAUCAAAUAAUUCACUAGACUCAGUUAAAUUCUCAGAGGAUUCAAGAAAGCAUGGUUUUGUAGUUGUUUUUUUUUUUGCCAAUGUUAAGAAUAGAAUCUAAAGAAUAAAGUGGUCAUUUUUAAGAAAAAAAAGAGGUUACAGUAAUGUAAUUUUAUUUAUUUAAUUUUUUGGGCUGCAUUGACUACACACCACAGCUGUGCAAUCGAGAAGGACGUGACCUCUGAAUGCAUGGGCACGUGGCGAUUACAGGAAAUGACGCGUCCGCUAUUGAUGAUGUCACACUGUGGUUUUUAAAGCCUGACAUCUGUUCACAACGCUAUCAAGUGGCGAUAAAGCGAGCUGAAGAGUGACGGAAAGAGAGAGAGAGAGAGAGAGAGAGAGAGAGAGAGAGAGAGAGAGAGAGAGAGAGAGAGAGAGAUAGAUCUAGGUUAGAAGCGUCCAUCCCGUCUCAGCUCUAAUAGGCUUUGACAUCCUCAAGCUGGAUGCUAAUCGCUGGCAACAGCCUUUCGAUGGCCUGAUGGGGCGGACCUUUCAGGACCUAGGCCCAUGGUGCUUCCGGGACCUUGACCAGGAGGCCAAAAAGAGGUCCAAAAUUUGACAUUCUUUUUAAGCCUCUCAUUGAGUCCGUAAAGAACAAUUUGAUGGCUACCAAGUAGUCCCUGAAUGCAACCGAGUGCUGC